rnacentral:rRNA from 1 species
GGAGGGUGCAAGCGUUGUUCGGAAUUACUGGGCGUAAAGCGCGUGUAGGCGGCCUCCUCAGUCUGCUGUGAAAGCCCGGGGCUCACCCCCGGAAGGGCAGUGGAUACUGGGAGGCUGGAGUACCGGAGAGGAGGGUGGAAUUCCUGGUGUAGCGGUGAAAUGCGUAGAUAUCAGGAGGAACACCGGUGGCGAAGGCGGCCCUCUGGACGGAUACUGACGCUGAGACGCGACAGCGUGGGGAGCAAACAGGGAUUAGAUACCCUGGUAGUCCACGCCGUAAACGAUGGGCACUAGGUGUUCGGGGUAUCGACCCCCCUGAGUGCCCGCAGCUAACGCAUUAAGUGCCCCGCCUGGGGAUUACGGCCGCAAGGCUA